UGUGGACGGACGCCACCAAGGCGACGAUCAGUAGCCGGCCUGAGAGGGCGGACGGCCACAUUGGGACUGAGACACGGCCCAGACUCCUACGGAAGGCAGCAG
rnacentral:rRNA from 1 species